rnacentral:ncRNA from 1 species
AACGCAUUAGGUUUCACCCUCUGACGGGUGAUGAAAAGGGAAUCGGGUGGAAAUCCCGGACAGUCCCGCUGCUGUAAGUUGUCCUUCAGGCGCGCAACAAGAUGCCACUGAGAAUUGUCGGGAAGGCGUUGUGAGCCGGACAACAGAGUCAGAAGACCUGCCUGGUGCAU